GCCUUCCUAAGCUUGGAUCCAAGUUCUCUAGGAACUGAAAGGACACCCAGGACGAAGGGAGGGAACUCAACUGCGGUUCACGCUAGAAGAGGGGUUGGUAUUUUUCCUCAAGCCCAGUUUCUGCAGAUGUCCUCCUCAGACAACGAUUGCCACUGAGGAUAAAGAGCAGAGUCAGAAUCAAGUUGCAGAGAAGAGGGAAGGUAGAGGAUAUUCGAUCAUGCACCACGAUUCCAGUCCGGUUUUUGCCUCGGACUGGGGACCGCUUCUCUACCGGCAACUACCGUCCCGCCCCGCCCCCACGUUAGGGCAGCUGUGAGGAGGCUAACCGGCGAGCGCGGGGCAGGUGCCUACUAACUUCUCGUAGAACGACUGCCUAGACCUGGCCCAGCAGAGCGUGGAGGAUCCCGGGCGGUGUUGGUCCCGGCGUACUUGUAAGGAAGAGAGCCAGGAGGACCCCAGAAGGGGCUCGCAGUAGCACACGCAGCGCGCGCGCGCACCGGCGGUUGCUCAGAGCUACCUUAGGAGCCAUAGGGACCAUACUCCAAGUGGUGGGCACUGGCCCAACUUGGUUCUAGGGCUCUCGCCGUCCCUCGCUUUGGUGGCUGUGGCCGUGUUCCAGCCUGCGGCCAAGCAGAGUUUCAUCAUAGAGUUUUUGGUGGCCAAGGAUGGUGGCAACGGUGGGAGUCCUGGCAGCGUGGGCGUGGGGGUGGGCUCGGGCUCCCAUCCUCUGGCUGUGGCUGCCUUAGAGUAACUGCUCAGGCUCGUGGCACUCAACUGCCUUCAUCCCAUUUUGGUCGAAAUAGCCUUGGUGAGUGGCUUCCCUGCCGCAGGGUGCGGGCCAUUCCCUCUAGGAACCACGGGAGCUGGUGUAGCCAGAGACCAUUAAUCACUCAGUGCUGAUAGUGCACAGGCACACCAGCUGGGCUCCUCCUCUCCGCAAUCCCCUCACUCAGCGCUCAGCUUCAGGACCCUCUCCACUUCUAUCCCUGGGGACUUUGGAACCGCUUCUUUGGCUACUGCUUCCAUGUGCAGGGCUAUCUGAGAGGUGCCUGGUCCCAUGCUGCACGGAAGUGAGACAUCCAGGUGACCACUGUGCUGACAAAGCUGGGAUCACAUUGCCAGUCCACCACUGGGAUCUACUCAGUAGUCACGAGAUUCCCCGAAGCUGGGCCUGCUGGGUUCUGUCAGCGUCCAGCAUCCAUCGACGAGCACCCAGGUGUCUCUGCAUCAUCGCCCUGUGAUGCUUCUAAGUCUCACCCACCAGCAUGCUCCUGCAGCAAGGAGGUCAGGCUUUCCAGAGGGCUGCCUGGGGCUUAAGUCAACGGUGCAGUCAACGGUGAAGUCAACUUCAUCACCACUACUUUACGGUGCAUGCAGGUGCUGAACACCUUGACUUUUGGACACAGGCUUUUGCAAGGCUAUCGAGGUUGAAAUGCACCUGCCUAUUUGGGUGGUGGUGGCACAUGCCUUUAAUCAAGAGGAUGAAGGGGAUCUUGGCUGUAGAUGUCCCGCUCUUGCCUUGCAGCCCAGACAAAUUUCCUUAAGGACUGGAGGAUCAGAAACAGCAAUGUGUCUAGGCAACUUCUUCCAGGGACAUUUCCGGGAAGCCCAGGCCAUCUUCAGUGUUCCAUGAAUCCCAGUUUAAGAAAGAGCACGUGCGACCUGCCUGACUGGAAUUUGUUUGUGUGCAAGAAGAGACGGGGACAGAGACACAGACAGAACCUCACAGUGCAUGGACGUCAAGGAGUCAUCAGGAUGUGAGGCCAGAUCUCCAACCCAGGCUGGCCAGAGUCUCCGGGAGGUCCUCGUUGGUUUUGUCUGAUUAGCUAGCCUGUUCCAGAGGCUGAAGCCAGCACUGAAUCCAUGGAAUGAACUUCCCAGAGUUGUGCAUUAUGGGUUGGGGAACAUGGGGUCUAAUGGUGCCCUUCCUGCCUCUGAGAGGGAUAGGACACUCCUCUCUUCUCAAAUUAGACAGGAAAAAAAUGUCUGUCCUAAGAGAGCUUAGUGUUGCUCAGGGGACAGAGUAGAUAAGAAAGAGGAAUGUGUUUCCCAGGGGCAGAAUACUACUGGGACAGGGUGUUGAACUCAGCAGAUAUCCCAGCAGGGUGACUAUGCCAGGAACCUUGUUGUCCUGUGUUCAAAUUAGGAGAGACCGUUGGUCGGAGGGACCAUCCAUGUCAGUCACACGGGCUUCUGUGUGCCUCAGGCUGUGACAGAUGUUGGCACAGUCUAGGGAGAAAGAACACAGGAGAUGACAUCUUACCAAUGUGACAGUGGGAGGGACAGGGAAAGCUUCCCAGAAGCUCUCACAGGAUGUGGGAGGCUGCUUACCAGGGCAAGAGCAAGUAAUGUGCAAAUACUCCGAGAAAUGCAAGCAGCUUUCUGAGUUGUCCAGUUGCGUGCAGACUCCAGGAAGAGAGAUGAAGUUGUCAGGAGACAGGGCCUCAGCAGGUUGCUGCCCCAUCAUGAGGGGCUCAAGUUUCAGCCUGGUUAUAAUAGGCAUUACUGGCUUAUGGUGUGGCAGGUGGUGGUGAGUGUGGACUUACGUUGUUAAUGUGAAAUGUGAAUGUUGGCCUUGAAGGAACAAGCUUAGAGAGGCAGGCAGUGGGUUAUUAGAGGGCAGAUUUGGUGGAGAGAGAGGGCACAGCUGCCCCUGCAGUCACUCCACAGCUGUGGUUUUCAUGUGUUUGCUCUGAGGUGGGUCUGAGGCCUCAAGCAAUGUGACCUGUGAUGGGAUGGGGGUGCGGGAGCAGGGGAGGGCAUGUAUAACGUUGGCAGGAGACUGCCCUCUAGAGGAGUCCCACAAGGGCACUUGCAGGCCUCAUUCUCACCCUGGGAACCCAUUUUGGGGCAGUCAGGACAGGCUGACUAGGGAGACUUCUCUGGAGAGAGAAGGCUACCUCCUGAACAAGACCAGGUUCCCUGUAAGAAAUGGAGCAAAUGACGUUACCUUCCCAUAACACAUGAGGAGACAUGUGUGACUGUUAUUUGCUCCCUGUUUUCCCAGGCUGGGGGAGAGGGCAUGGGGUACUGUUCCACAUACAGUUUUAGGGCACCUUAGCCCUUCAGCUCUCUUUCCUGAGCAAGACAUGGUGAAAUCUACCCCUUGUUGUCUGAGAUUUUACCUGGACAGAUCUGUCCUGUGCAGGAGGGCCUGUGAUCACACUGGCUCCUGGACGUCUUCCCUUGCUCCCCUGAGGGGCUGUCCAAUUCUCAGCCAGACCAACUUCCAAAUCAUGGUGCACAAGCUAUCGACCUGGGGCAGGUCCUCUUCAGGACUUCAAAGCAGAAAGACACAGGAAAGAGGCCUUUCAUAACUUUGAAACCCACAGGACUGACUGGGCUGGCCCUGAAGUGCCACAGCACCCCACUGGUUCUUCAAGGACUCACUGCUUCCUUUGGCCAAGGUCCCACCCUCACUUCUCCCUGCUUUGAUCAGCAUCUCUGCAGUCUGCUUCUGGCUCUACAAGAGUGAGGUGGCCCUUAAGGGGUGUCUAUGGAAAUGGUCUUUCUGAAGUGACAGGCUAAAUUCCCAAGUGUGCUACAAGUGGGCACACUCAUCAUUUGUCACAAAAGAGAGGGAGUACGUAUAAAAUGAAUGAGGACAUGCACCUUCCUGGUCCUGUGGGUGACUCCACAGUCCCCUUCCCUUGGAGUCAGGUUCUUACACGAGGCUUGGCUUCUCUUCAGUAGCGGCAGGCAGCAGCAGCACAGGUUUUUGAUACAGUUCAUGAUUCUUUCUUUCCCCCUUCCAGAGGUGAUGCUGUCACCAGGGGAGGCUGGACCUGCCAUCUCGUGCUGGCCAUUAGUAAUGGUCUCUUCCUGAAUGAUGGGCAUUUCCUGACUAUUGGCCAGAUCCUGAAUGAUGGCCUCUUCCUGUGUGAGGGCCUCUUCCUGUGUGAGGGUCUCUUCCUGUAUGAGGGUCUCUUUCUCCAAGGCAUCCCAGAGGAGGAGCCUGAGGCUUAUGCUCCUAGUUGCCUGCAGGGAUGCCCAGAGCUCGUCUUGUGGAGGGCAUAUUCCUGUCUUUGUCAGUUGUAGACUCAUUGUCUGGUCAGAAGAGGAAGUAUAUAGAAAUGGAGACACGGCAGGUUCAGUCAAGCUACCAUAGAAGACAAGUUUGGACUGCGAAAAUCUCAACUGAUUUCCAGUCUGCUUCUCAUGAGGGAGUCAGUCACAGGACAGUCCAUGUGGGAUAGUUAUGGACGGUGCGUCCUCUUUGGCUGGCAGCACACAGCAUGUCUUCUUUCCUCCUGACAGGAAAUCUCCUCCUCCUCCUCCUCCUCUUCCUCCUCCUCUUCCUCUUCCUCCUCCUCCUCUUCCUCUUCCUCCUCUUCUUCCUUUAGCUUAGAUGAAGGUGAGGACAAGGUGUAGAGUGAAGAGGCUCAGAAGCUCUCUUUAGGAAAUCAGGAAAGGAGUGAAGGUCUUCCAGGCUUGACUGCAUGCAUUUUAAGGCUUUUAAUUAGUAGUGGGAGCUCUCUCUCCUGGGUGACUUGUGUAGAAUUAGGUUGGAAUCACAUCAUUGAAUUUUUUCUCUCUCAGAGACUGUAUGAUUUCCUCACUCUUAUACCCCAUGACUAUCAUGGGCCUGACAAUGCUAAGGCUCGUGUUGCCCAGGAAACUCUGUGUGGAAGUAGUUGAUAUACUUGCCUUGCUAUUCCUGUUCAUAGGGUGCAUCAUGAUUAUGUUCAUGGUAGGCAUCCUGCUGGAUCAAUCAUCAGCAGUUUGACUAUGUCCUUGAAAAUGUAGGUGGAAAGAUUAAGAGGAAUGCCGAAAGUUGAGGCGAUGACUUGCCGUCUCACCUCUACAAAAUUCCUGCCUCGGAAAGGAAAGCUCGUGGCCACCAUGAGGAAGAGGAGGAUACCUAAACUCCAGAUAUGAACUGGGCAGCCCUCACAUUCCUCUACAUGUAGGAUUUCCAGGGCACUGUAGGGCAGCGUGUCACAGAAAUCCACCUGCUUCUGCCAGGAAUCACUAACAGCCAGACCAGAACCAUACAGUUUGGCAUUAGUCCUGCACUUGACCAAAAUGUUGCUGCUCAAUCUUUAUGUCUCUAUGGACAAUGCUGCACAGCCUCUGUCUAUGGACAAUGUCACGUGUAGGUAGUACUGUACCACAUGUAGUAUCUGGGCAAACAUCCUUCAAGCUUCACUCUCUUCUAAACUCCAUUCGUGGAUAUGGUCUAGUAGCUCUCUGAGGCUUGCUCCAUCACUGGGUAGGGGGUUUCUCUCCCCUGGACCAUGUGAAACAGCUAAUGUUAGGACGGGUAAGGGAUUUCAUAAUGCUGACUUCACUACUGAUAGUUGAGGCAUACUUAUUUGCAUUCCUCACAAGUUUUAUACCCACACAUGUCAGUGUGGGUACAUGGUAGUCCAGUUUCACCACUGAAGUGCUUCCUUUACACAGGUUUGUCAUCCUGUCUGCUGACGUCUUUUAGUUAAGACGUGUUUUAUAUCCUUCCAAGUUCAUCUGCUUACACAUAUGUCUUUGAGAGGCUGUCCAAGCCAGGAUGAAAUGGCCUUAGUCAAACAUAUAUACUGGGUACUAUAAACUCACCACGUAUGCAUUUGUGGUCUUUGUUUAACUUCCUGAAAUUGUUCCUGCUUUGUGUUGCUUGCCUUUAAAAGACACUGAGAAAAUACAGUGCUGCCAUGGUAUUGACCAGCAGCCCUCUCAUAUUUGUCUCUUGCAUCUUCUUUCUGCCUUUCCAAUAAAACAUCCACAUUUCUCCA
rnacentral:sRNA from 1 species